UAUACAGGGAAUGGGGAAGUCAGCAAUUACUUUGUCCCUUCCGCCCAGCUGAAACCUUGUCUCCUCUGCCAGGUGUUGUUCUCAUGAGCAUGCAGUUUGAGUCCUCAAGUUCCUCAUUGGUAAGAAGAUCCUCCAUCUGCCCUAAAGUCAGGACACAGCAGUCUGAUUUUAAAAGAUCUGUAUGGAUUAAAACAGUCUUCUCAUGGGACACAGGGCUAUGUGGACACACCACCAGCCUGAAACUUCUGGGUCACCCCUGUGCUGAUGGAGGGUGUCUGCAGCAAGAGAUUAGAUCAAACAACUCAGCCUGUCUGGGCAGAAGCUGUGCAUGUCUUCAGGUAGGUGCUCCAUGUAGUACUCUGUGAGGCUGGGACAGGGAGGAGGCUGAAGGAUGCUUGAACAAGCUUCAU
rnacentral:lncRNA from 1 species